rnacentral:lncRNA from 1 species
AGAAAAGGGAGAGUAAAAGAGAGAGAGAGAAUUAUAUUACUGUUUGCAGAAUAAAUAUAAAUGUGAGAUAAGAGCCUCUUACCCUUGCAGCUGGGCAUAACCAAUUUGAUCUCCCUUUAAUCCUAGAAGUGAGGGGUAGUUUAACAUAUAGAAUCCCUGCAUGAAUCGUCUCAGUUUGCUUUGGGUCCUUAUUUUCACAUAGUAACAGAUACUGAUUAUGGUGACUUCCUCACUUUUUUUGAACCAGACCUAAGGUUUAAUUGGCACAGGGAGCUCCCAGUGAAGAAACUCCCUCUACCACUUUUUUUUUUUUGCUAUUUGCAUCCCCAGAGCUUAGCAGAGUGCCUGACACAUAUAAAUUCUGAAUUCAUCCAUCCUUCCUUCCUUUCUUCCCAAAUCAGAGGUCAAGGGACUUGUCCCAGGCCACCUAGACAGUGCAUGUGUCAGAAAAAGGAUUGGAACUUCAGUGUUCCUGACCGCGAGGCUUGAUCUCAAGUCACUGUGCCAAGCUGUUAUCUCUAGCUAGCUCCACUUUACAGAUGAGCCAACUAAGGCUCAGAGAAAUCAUCGGACUUGCGGAGGGGUCACACAGCGGGUCUGCGUGGGAGGUGGGCUUCACACCCAGGUCUCUCCGGUGCUCCCUCUUCCUCCCCGAUACUGCCGCAAAAGACCGGUGCUAAAGAGAAAGACAACGGGAGACGCGAGGAAGGGAGGGAGGGAAGGGGACAGAAACAGGGACAGACGCGAAGUAGCAAAGUCGGGAAAGAGGCUCAGCCGCCCACCAGGGGGCGGCAGAGGCCGGGGUGGGGGCCCGCUGGGGAGGGGAGGACGGCACAGGGGAGGGGAGGGUGCGGUGACCCUCCCAGCCCCUCCCUCCCUCUCUCCUUCCCUCCGCCCCGCCCGCCCCGGCUCAGACGGAGACAGGACAGCGAGCGGCAGCCGCGCCCAGUGCCCCCCUGCCCAGCCUAGUCCAGCGGGGACCCCCGUAGGACAAGACAGGACAGGGCAGGACAGACAGGACAGGACAGGUCCUUGCGUCUUCCCGCCUGCGACGCCCGGCUUGGUCCGAUCCGCCUCCGAACUCCUCUGACUGACUCUAAUCAGCGAAGAACUUGUCUGUACCCUUCCCUGUCCCAGUGGCCCUCCAUCAGAGGAAUUAUUGCAUCUGGGGCAAAAACAAAGGACGGGCUGGGGUGCUGUGGAACUCCAGAGGACAGCUCAGUGGGAGAUGCAGUAACAUCAGGAGAGGGCAACCUAUUCCUCUCCCCACAAAAGGAGUCAGGAGUGCAAACGGGUCCAAGAAGAGGAGUCUGGUGGGUGAUGGUCUGAGCAGGGGCCCAUCACCUUGGUGGGAAUAAUAGG